GACGAACGCUGGCGGCGUGCUUAACACAUGCAAGUCGAACGGAAAGGCCCUGCUUUUGUGGGGUGCUCGAGUGGCGAACGGGUGAGUAACACGUGAGUAACCUGCCCUUGACUUUGGGAUAACUUCAGGAAACUGGGGCUAAUACCGGAUAGGAGCUCCUGCUGCAUGGUGGGGGUUGGAAAGUUUCGGCGGUUGGGGAUGGACUCGGGGCUUAUCAGCUUGUUGGUGGGGUAGUGGCUUACCAAGGCUUUGACGGGUAGCCGGCCUGAGAGGGUGACCGGCCACAUUGGGACUGAGAUACGGCCCAGAGUCGUACGGGAGGCAGCAGUGGGGAAUAUUGCACAAUGGGGGGAAGCCUGAUGCAGCAACGCCGCGUGCGGGAUGACGGCCUUCGGGUUGUAAACCGCUUUCGCCUGUGACGAAGCGUGAGUGACGGUAAUGGGUAAAGAAGCACCGGCUAACUACGUG
rnacentral:rRNA from 1 species